rnacentral:rRNA from 1 species
GACGAACCGAGCGAACGUUAUUCGGAAUCACUGGGCUUAAAGGGCGCGUAGGCGGCCAUCUAAGUCAGACGUGAAAUCCCCCGGCUCAACCUGGGAACUGCGUCUGAUACUGGACGGCUUGAGUUUGGGAGAGGGAUGUAGAAUUCCAGGUGUAGCGGUGAAAUGCGUAGAUAUCUGGAGGAAUACCGGUGGCGAAGGCGGCAUCCUGGACCAAUACUGACGCUGAGGCGCGAAAGCUAGGGGAGCAAACGGG